GCUCAGACCCAAAAUAUGGAUGUGUCUUUCCUUUAUGAUACUUUUAAUAGUCUAAAUUAAACUGCUCAUAUUUGGCGAGACUGUUUGAAUCACUGAGUCAUCUCAGAAAACACAACAGUAUUUGCUGGUGUAUGCUGGGUCUGGCUGAUACUCUCCAACUCUUUUUAGUGGUGAUUACCGGAGUGUGGAAGCAAGUAAUUAAUGUUCUCUGGAAUUUCUCUAUCAUCCUGCAGAGUGGUUGUGUCGGUGUUUUGAGGAUACAGCGGGAGUCCAUGGAGCUGACUUCAGAGCUGAAUGAGCUGAAAGGAAGUCUUGGCCAUAACUCUGGAGCAGAUGCAGUAGGGAUCCACCGGCUGAUCUGAGACGUUCUUCAGUGCAGCGUGAAUAGUUUUGUGCUGUGAACUCAGCGUGGGUCUGAUGAGUGCUGUAGCCAAAACUAGCUAAUCAGAGGAGCAUCAACAGAGCCAAUUGCCACUCAGGCCGUGCUUUCAGCCACUCAUGCAUGUGCCACAGUUAUUCAUUCACUUUCUCCGCUUAGAUAGUCUUGUAGACUUUGAGACAGGCUUGUGGUUUUCCCAGGCAGAAGCUCUUCCUUGUCUUCCACACAUCUUUACAAAUAUUUAAACCAAAAUUUUUUCUCUCUGGGCUGUGUCAUUUUCUUUGCUGUUUCUGUGGCGACGUAGGUGAUUUAAGCCUUUAAUAAAUCAUAGCUCUG